UGCUGCUACGCUAUAGUGCUAUAGCCGCUAUUUGGCAACACCGAUAUCUUCCAUGAGUAAAGAAAGAACUAGUCAAUCAAAUCGAAAUUACGUAAUGUCCUUUAGGAGAAAAACAAAGAGUUGCUCAGUGUAUCUAAUAAUUUGCUCAAUAAUACAUUUCACAAAGAAAGUAAUUAAGAAAUAGAUUCAAGAGUUUCUUCCAUUGCAUGAAAGAAACUUGUUCUGGCAACCAUGUAUCCAAAGUUACGGACCUCACCUUGUAACAAAAU
rnacentral:lncRNA from 1 species